CCACAUUAUCCUAACCGCCCAUUUCUCAAUCCAAGAGCUAAAAAAUUAAUAGCACCAAUAGCUUGAUGCUAUUGAUAGUAUUCCAGCCUAGUUCUAUAUAUAUAUAUAUAGUUGAGCUAGGCUGGUAUUCCAGCUCAACUAUAUAUAUAGAGAGAGAGAGAGUGAGGCUACUAUGCUUCCGGAAGCACAAAGUCUUCCGUGCUUUCAGGUCAUUUUUAAUGUUGCGACUUUCGAAUCGUCGAUCGGCUCCGUUAAACUUGAUCUAGAGUAUUUGAAGUAGCUAGAAAAUAAAUUAUAUGAUUUUUCGAUAUUAUUUGCCUAGUGAACGAAGGGGCUCAAAAUCAACGGCUGAAAAUAAAAAUCUUACAAAACGUGAUAAUAUGACAUUAAAAUUUUAGAUUAAAGAUAUUGAUCUUGUUUUAUAUAGUAUAAAGAAUUUUCUAUCAAAAUUUCACGUGAUUUGGAUAUUUCUACACCGUUAAACUUGCAAACGGCUCACUACGGCCAUUAAAAUUAUUGAUUUUGAGCCCCUUCGAUUACUAGGCAAAUGAUAUCGAAAAAUCAUAAAAUUUAUUUUCUAGAUACUUCAAAUACUCUAGAUCAAGUUUAACGGAGCCGAUCGACAAUUCGAAAGUCGCAACAUCGAAAACGACCUGGAAGCACGGAAGGCUCCGUACUUCCAAAAGCAUAGUAGCCUUACACUAUAUAUAAUUAGGCUACUAUACUAUCUAUAGUACCGGAGCUCCGGUACUAUAGUCUUGUUUUCAAUCUUAGGGUGUUCAAAUUAAUGAUCCACACCGUUAAAUAUGAUCUAGGGUAUAUGAAAUUCUUAGAAAUAAAAGUUUAGUUUUUUUCGACAUCGUUUACUUACUAAAUAAAUUAUGUCAAAAUGGACGGUGAAAAUUGAAUAAUCUUUAAAAUUUGAGCAUAGGACUUUUAAAUUCAAGAUCAAGAAUGUUAACCUUAAUCUAGAUAGUUUAAAGUAUUUUCUAGUAAAAUUUGAAGAAAUUUAGAUUCUUCUACACCGUUAAACUUCAAACUCGCCAUAGAGGCCAUUAAAAAUUGAUAAUUUUGAAAUUGUUUGAUCAUAAAGUAAACUAUGUCAAAAAAAUAUAAAAUUUUAUUUCUAAAAACUUUAAAUACCCUAAAUCAGUUUUAAUGAUGUGGAUCAUUGAUUUGAACACCCUAAGGUCGAAAACGAGACUAUAGUAUCAGAGCCCCAGUACUAUAGAUAGUAUAGGAGACUAGCUCUCUCUCUCUCUCUCUCUCUCUCUCUCUCUCUCUCUUUCUAUAUAUAUAUAGGCCAUGGCUACUAUACUAUUAUGAGUAUUGGAGCCCUUGUACUCAUAAGUUGUUUUCGAUGCUGGAGCUUCCGAACCGACGAUCCAUUCCGUUAAAUAUGAUCUAAAGUAUUUGAAACUUCUAGAAAAUAAAUUUCGUAACUUUUCGAACUCAUAAUAAAGUCCAUCAAGCGGGCAUAAAAUGAACGGUCAAAAUCGAACGACGUCCUAAAAAAGGAUGAUCCGAUCAUUCAAUUCAAGAUCGGAGUUAUUGAUCUUUAUCUAGAUAGUGAAUAGAAUUUUCUAUCAAAAAUUCAACAAAUUCCGAUUCUUUUACACCGUUAAACUAGCAAGUACUCCAUACCGGCCAUUAAAAAUUAUUAAAUUUGUGACCUCUUGAUCGUAAGGUAAAUGAUAUCGAAAAAUUAUAAAAUUUGAUUUCUAGAAGUUUUAAAUGCUGUAAAUAACGUUUAAUGGUGUGGAUCGUCGAUUCGGAAGCUCUAUCAUCGAAAACAACUUAUGAGUACGAGGGUGAUCGUACUCAUAAUAGUAUAGUAGCCGGACCCUAUAUAUAUAUAUAGUUUGACUGGGCUACUAUCGGUAGUAAACUACUCGGUUUACUACCGAUUUGUUUUUGAUGAUAGAGCUUUCAAAUCAACGAUCGGCACUGUUGAACAUGAUCUAAACCAUUUAAAUUAUCUAAAAAUCAAAUUUCAUGAUUUUUUGGCAUCACUAACUGAACGAUCAAAGGGUCACAAAAUCUAUAAUUUUAAUGGCCGAUAUAGUGCGUUUGCUCGUUUAACGGUAUAAAAGAGUUCAAAUCAACUAAAGUUUUGUUAAAAAUUUUUUUAAACUAUUUAAAAUAAGAUCUAGACUCUAGAUCUCAAAUAUAAAAAUUGUAUCAUCACUUUUUGAAGGAUAUUCAUUUCCAGCCAUUCAUUU
rnacentral:lncRNA from 1 species